rnacentral:tRNA from 1 species
AAAAAGCUAGUUUAAGUAAAACUAUUGAUUUCGACUCAAUCCAUUUUGGUAAUACCCCAAAGCUUUUAU